CCUUUCACCACACUUCAGCCAGGCUCUUGUUAUAAAGAAAUUGCUGCAGGCUUUCAACAAAAAAAGACAGAAAUGUUCAAGUGUGGCUUUUCCUCCCAUCUUAAUAGGCUCAAUGCAAACUCCCCACUGAGGGUCUGAGAGGCUGAAACGCAUUGUUACUGUCUACCUUAGCGGCUCGCUCCCGUCUGCUCCGCAGAGUGGCCUCGUUUAGCCAGGCCGUUCCUACCGCCAUCCAUCGGGAGCUCGGCUAAUGAGCAGAGGAGGAAGAGCCGAGUCUCGCUCACACACCAACACGCCACUUAUCUGAAUUAUUAUUUUACCAGCAAAGAGGGGAGGAGGGCGUCGCGAGCAGGGAGAAAGUUUGUUUGACCUUAUUUCCCUCUUCCGCAGCAGGCUGGGAAGGCAGGCAGCUGAGCCCACGUCCAGGCUGAGCUCAACUCCCCACCUCCACCUGCGGACCCUGAACCCUACAGAGCCCCACUGUCGGGGGCGUGGGGGGUCCGACGAAACACGGGGGAGAGAGGAAGGAGGGAAGGCGCAGGGCUCACGAAAGCCUCAGAGACCCAAGGGUUUUAUGCCACGUGUCAAGUUGUAAGCUCAUCUCAGCUCUUCUGACCUAGAGAAGUAACCAGAAGAGUUCUGUGAUGAACACUGCUUAGCUAGUGUUUCUCAGAAUUCUUUCCCUGGAAAUCCCACCAAAAACCGAUUGUGACAUCUGACAUCAUUCUCUGCACUUCUGAGAUGACACACAAACAGGCUGAAAAGUUCACCUAGAGUAAUGUAACAGCUUUAGGAUUGUAAUUCAGUGCUGUCCUCUGGCCAAAAUAUUUUGAACCAUCUAAUGAAAAGACCAUACGUUGCAAAGAAAUAGAUCACCAGUUUUUGGGUGCUUUUUCAUUAUUUUUAAAUAAAUGACCAAUUUCGUUUCUUCUCAGAA